AUUUGGCUAUUUAUUUAAAAUAAGUUCGAGUUCAAACUCGAAUCAAAAUUUAAGCUUAAAAUUUAAUUAAAACUGAAAAAUAAGCAUAUAUAAGGAGGUUCUACACUAAGAACAGGACCGAUCAGAUGUUUUAUUUGCCAAAAAAACAAAUGAAGAAAUGAAAGCCAUUAGAUUGUCAUAUCUAGCAUAAACGACCUAGAUUGAAUAGCUUCUCACCUGUAAAAUUUUGCUGGAAUCUCCCCUUCCCAUCCCACCCUUUCUCUUCUCUUCUCUUCUUCUCCCAUUCGCACCUCUAUAUAUAUAUAUAUAUUUAUAUAUAUGUUUUUUGGUCGGCUAUAAAAAAUUCAUCUUUACCCCAAAAAAUAUUUUCCUUUUCUUUUGCGCUUUUUGCUUUUAUUUUUAUUUUUUCUUUAGGGUUAUAUGUUUGCCUUUUGUUGACUCUGCCGGUUAACCCCCAUUUUUUCCGGUUCUUUAUCUCUCUCUCUAUCUCUCUCUGUGUACUCCAUGCCCAACCUUCUAUUCCUGUGGUCAAGUGGGUGAAUCGUGUCCACCAUAUUACAGGUUCGAGAAGAGGCAGGCACAAAACAACUCUCUGUGUACUCCAUCUUUACCAACUCUCUUCCAUCUGCCUUCUUGAUCUCUCCAUUGAUCUGGAUCUGGCUCUGGCUCUGGCUACCAAUGGCGUUCCAAAACUUUGCAGCAACCAUUACAAGGUUUAUCUUCGCAGCCGGAGGUUUGAUUUUUUAUUUCCACGGAUCCUUCUCAAAGAUGCAAUUUGUGGAUGAUACAAACUGGAAAGGCAUGUGUUUUAUUAUUCUCAGUCUAACUGUUGCUUUCUUUGUGUUUAUGCCUCUGAAAUGUAAUGAUAUGUUUGAAAAGUUAUGUGAUAUGCAUUUCUUGCUGAAUGCCCUUGUGAAGUUACUUUGGCUGGGGUUAGUCUCUAUGUUGACUUUCCUUACCAAGUAUCCUCGGCUCAAAAUUCAUCAUUCAAAAUCUACGACGGAGGAACAAAGCAAUAGAUCAGGAAAGGUGAAUGAUUUAUUGGGUGUUGGAUCGUUUUCCGUUCUUGCUUUGGUGAUAUCAUGUGCUAGGGAAAGGCAGCAGGGGAGCGCAGGAUUCGGUGUAUUCGACUUUAUCCUUCAGUUGACUAUGGAUGCUUCUAUGGAGAUUCCUGCUGGACAUGGUAAUGGAUCAGGACCAAAUCUUUGGUAUAUGUUUGGUGCUUAUGUUUAUUGUUUUUUGUUGCUCAUAAUCAGAAAUUACGGGAAUUCCUUGGCUGAACAUGGAAUCAGCAGCUCUGUUGCUCGACAGGAAACUCUGUUGCAAGACCAAGAUCAGCCGUUAGAGAUGGAUUCUGUUACAAUUGAUAUAGAUCGACAAUUGAGAGUUCCUUUUCGUCAUCAUUACUCCAAUCACUAUUCCCAUAGUAAUAGUAUUGGAAAUAGUACUACUACUUCUAGUAGUGGAAUAUUAGACUGGUCGAGGGGGAGUGUAUUUUCCAGUAAUAGUGAUACCGUAGAUGGUCGCAGUGAUCAUGAAAGCAUUGUUGAAGUAGUACCAGAGAGAGAAGAAGAAGAGAAAAGAGGGGAUGUUAUUUUAGAUGGCGAAAGCAACAUUAAUGUGCAACUGAACGAAUGCGGAAGUUAUGAUGUAGAGGGAGAAAAUAAGAAUAAGGAAGGUACAUCAGAUGGGGAAAGCAAGGAUGUUGAAACUAAUGAAUGUGGAAAUUAUGAGACAAAGGGUGAAGAUGAGGAUACAGAAGUUAUGCUAGAUGGGGAUACCAAAGAUAUGCAAUGGGGAAACUAUAAGGUUGAUGGACUAAGGAGGAGGAAGAACAUGACGAGGUCAAAAGCAAUCUGGUCUGAUGAAGUAGAAAUUGCAGAUAUGAAGAUAUUAAAACCUUACUCAUACGGAUGGGAAUGGAGGUUACCCUCAUUUACUGAUAGUUUAGUUUCUGUAACGCUAACAAACAAUGUGUUUGAGUCAUUUACAAAGGUUCUGUCUCUAUUUGGCUGUUCCCUCUUCUCCAACAACGAUGACCCAAAACAUCAGAAUGGUCAUGAGAUAUCAACUCCCCUGUACUUAGACACUAGGCAAAUCCACUUCUAUCGUUAUUCAGCCAAGAACAACCAAAAAUGGCCGUGGAUUUGCUGGUGUUGGGGCUAUAACAGAUAUGUCGACGGGGUCGAGCUGAAAAUAUUUCUUGAGGGAGGAGAAUUUGGUGAGCGUCAUCAAAGGGAGGACCAAAAAGAUGGAGACGAUUACAGUCACUACGAGAGGAAGAAAGUUGUAUUUCCACUACCAAGGAAAGGGCAGUUACUGGGAGGCAGGCAGCGAAAGCCUAUGACGAAAUAAGAACCGGAGUGUUCCAGAUCACCAGAAUGGCAGGGCAAGAUAUCAACUUCCUUAUACCAAAGAACAAUCAAAAUGGGCCCUGGUUAUGCCAGUGAUGGGUUGUGAAAAGGGUUGAAUUGCCACCACCAAGGAAUGGGCCUUCCCUGGGAGGCACGCAGCCAAAUCCUAAGCUUAUUCAAGAUGGGCCAAGUUUUAUAUGCCUCUUGUGUGUGGUUUCGUGGUUAAUUUUUCUUUUCUCAGUUUUUAUUUGGUUCUACUUUAGUUGUGUAUAAUUUGCUUCCUUCAAAAGGUUUACAGGUGUACAAAUUGAAGUUAAUAUAUAGAAAUGAUUCAUUAAUUUCCAAUUGGCA